GGGGGGGGGGGGGGGGGGGGGGGGGGGGGGCGGGGGGGGCGGGGGGGGGGGGGCUGGGUCGUCUGGCUGGGUGGCGAACGGGUGAGUAACGCGUAGGGAACCUGCCUGGUAGCUGGGGAUAGCUAUUGGAAACGAUAGCUAAUCCCGCAUAAGAUUAGAUUUUGCAUGACAUUUACUUAAAAUGUGCAAUUGCAUCACUACCAGUUGGACCUUCGUUGUCUUCGCUAGGUGGUGGGUUACGGGCUUACCAAGGCGACGAUACAUAGCCGACCUGAGAGGGUGAUCGGCCACACUGGGACUGAGACACGGGCCAGACUCCUACGGGAGGCAGCAGUAGGGAAUAUUCGGCAAUGGACGGAAGUCUGACCGAGCAACGCCGCGUGAGUGAAGAAGGUUUUCGGAUCGUAAAGCGCUGUUGUAAGAGAAGAACGAGUGUGAGAGUGGAAAGUGCACACGGGGACGGUAUCUUACCAGAAAGGGACGGCUAACUACGU
rnacentral:rRNA from 1 species